CCUACGGGAGGCAGCAGUAGGGAAUAUUGGUCAAUGGGCGAGAGCCUGAACCAGCCAUGCCGCGUGCAGGAAGAAGGCCCUCUGGGUUGUAAACUGCUUUUGACAGGGGCCAAAAUACUCAUGCGUGAGGAAUUGAGAGUACCUGUAGAAUAAGCACCGGCUAACUCCGUGCCAGCAGCCGCGGUAAUACGGAGGGUGCAAGCGUUGUCCGGAUUUAUUGGGUUUAAAGGGUGCGUAGGUGGCCUUAUAAGUCAGUGGUGAAAGCCUGCAGCUUAACUGUAGGACUGCCAUUGAUACCGUAGGGCUUGAGUACUGAUGAGGUAGGCGGAAUUGAUAGUGUAGCGGUGAAAUGCAUAGAUAUUAUCAAGAACACCGAUUGCGAAGGCAGCUUACUAAGGAGUUACUGACACUGAGGCACGAAAGCGUGGGGAUCAAACAGGAUUAGAUACCCUGGUAGUCCACGCCAUAAACGAUGAUUACUCGAUGUAUGCGAUAGAUAGUAUGCGUCCAAGCGAAAGCGUUAAGUAAUCCACCUGGGGAGUACGACCGCAAGGUUGAAACUCAAAGAGUAGUAGACGUUGAGAGUUGCGACGGAGACACAGGGAGGAGG
rnacentral:rRNA from 1 species